UGGGGAAUCUUGCACAAUGGGGGCAACCCUGAUGCAGCGACGCCGCGUGAGUGAUGACGCCCUUCGGGGUGUAAAGCUCUUUCGGCAGGGACGAUUAUGACGGUACCUGCAAAAGCAGCUGCGGCUAACUACGUGCCAGCAGCCGCGGUAAUACGUAGGCAGCAAGCGUUGUUCGGAGUUACUGGGCGUAAAGGGUGCGUAGGCGGCUUUUUAAGUUUGGUGUGAAAUCUCCCGGCUCAACUGGGAGGGUGCGCCGAAUACUGAGAGGCUAGAGUGCGGGAGAGGAAAGUGGAAUUCCUGGUGUAGCGGUGAAAUGCGUAGAUAUCAGGAGGAACACCGGUGGUGUAAACGGCUUUCUGGACCGUAACUGACGCUGAGGCACGAAAGCGUGGGUAGCAAACA
rnacentral:rRNA from 1 species